GUCGUACAAGGUAAGGCUUUUCACUCUUCGGAGUGACGAGUACACGAGUGGCGCACGGGUGAGUAACGCGUGGGUAAUCUGCCUUCGGGUUUGGGACAACUCCGGGAAACUGGAGCUAAUACCGAAUAAGACCACGAGGUCCUUGGGCCUUGCGGAAAAAGGUGGCCUCUUCUUGAAAGCUAUCGCCUGUAGAUGAGCCCGCGUCCCAUUAGCUUGUUGGUGAGGUAACGGCUCACCAAGGCAUCGAUGGGUAGCUGGUCUGAGAGGAUGAUCAGCCACACUGGAACUGAGACACGGUCCAGACUCCUACGGGAGGCAGCAGCCGGGAAUCUUGCACAAUGGGCGAAAGCCUGAUGCAGCAACGCCGCGUGAGGGAUGAAGGCCCUCGGGUCGUAAACCUCUGUCGGAAGGGAAGAAAGUAUUUUGGGUUAAUAUCCCAGAGUAUCGACGGUACCUUCAAAGGAAGCGCCGGCUAACUCCGUGCCAGCAGCCGCGGUAAUACGGAGGGCGCGAGCGUUAUUCGGAAUUAUUGGGCGUAAAGCGCGUGUAGGCGGCUGUGCAAGUCGGGUGUGAAAGCCCGGGGCUCAACCCCGGAAUUGCAUUCGAAACUGCAUAGCUAGAGUCUCGGAGAGGAGGGCGGAAUUCCCGGUGUAGAGGUGAAAUUCGUAGAUAUCGGGAGGAACACCAGUGGCGAAGGCGGCCCUCUGGACGAUGACUGACGCUGAGACGCGAAAGCGUGGGGAGCAAACAGGAUUA
rnacentral:rRNA from 1 species